UGUUAAUAUUUAAAAGGCCGGUCCCUAAGUGUAGCUGAUGUUAGUAUUUAAAAGGCCGGUCCCUAAGUGUAGCUGAUGUUAGUAUUUAAAAGGCCGGUCCCUAAGUGUAGCUGAUGUUAGUCUUUAAAAGGCCGGUCCCUAAGUGUAGCUGAUGUUAGUAUU